rnacentral:rRNA from 1 species
CGCACGGGUGAGUAACACGUGAGUGACCUGCCUUUUAGACUGGAACAACUUACCGAAAGGUGAGCUAAUGCCGGAUGAGUUAUAUAAGUGCAUGUUUAUAUAGGAAAAGUUGGGGAGACCUGACGCUGAAAGAUGGACUCGCGUCCCAUUAGCUAGUUGGUAGGGUAAUGGCCUACCAAGGCGACGAUGGGUAGCCGGCCUGAGAGGGUGGCCGGCCACACUGGGACUGAGACACGGCCCAGACCCCUACGGAAGGCAGCAG